UCCUAAAGUCCAACUCAGCCUCUGAAGCAGCAUUGUGUCUACCAGUUUACAAAUGAACUAAGAGGCUGGAGAGAGAGAGAGAGAGAGAUGCUCAGCUGCUCCUAUAGAGGCUGCCCUCCCUCAUGGUCAUGGCCAGUCCCUGCAUCUCUUAGAAGCUUCCUGACUCCUUGGAAACAUGGACUCCCUUGUGUCAAGGCC
rnacentral:lncRNA from 14 species